rnacentral:lncRNA from 1 species
AUGUGUGCAUGGGCAGUGCCAAGCGGUGGGGAACAGCAGAACCACAGUGCAAGCCCCGGAGUCUGGAGAAGAAGAUGUAAGUGGCAUAUUUGCAUCCUGUCUUCGUCGGGACCUGAUAAACAGCUUCAGCAGAUUGGAUUGGAAUGUCAGGAACUGACGAUCUUUCUGUGGAUUUCCGAGUCAGAAUGUGCAUCAGGGCCCAGCCGUUCUCAUUGGCCUGUAAGAUCUUGCUGCCUUCCUUCAGCUGUUUCUGUUGACAGCAAAGAAUGCUGACAGCCAGCUGAAUUCCCUAAACUCUCUGAUUUUCUAUCAGACCAGAAGAUGACAAAUGAGGUUUUCACUCGUGUUGAUGAGCACAUCACCAAAAUGACAUAAUGGUGUAAUUUUUCGCCCCAAGACAAGGAAAAAAAUGUAUUGAAAAUCACCGUGUUCAUGUUUUUGUUCCCUUUCCACCUUCAUCUGGCCACAGUUGUCACUCAGACUCUAAAGAGGGCCAGCAACGGAUGCUGCUGUUGAAUGGCUGCUUUGGUGUGUGUCUACGACAAGGUCAGGCUCAUCACAGUGGCUAGGACAUGCUCUUCUUAUUGAGCGGGGUUAUCUCAGGCACAUUUUACAGGCUGGUAACUGACAUCGCUGGAAUUGGAUGUGACACCCCCAAAUGACAUUUCUUGGAGAGAAAGUUUGACAGACAUCCAUCCAGAAAAAUAACUACUUCUACUUAUUCACUACCUAAAACAAUACUUGAGCAGCGAACAUGACUUCUCUUCAAUCUUUGCAAUAUUGCUCUUGACCGACUUUUGGACAGAGCACCCAAGUUGACCUGUGAAGUUAUUUAGGUUGAAGUUAGUGACAAUGUGAGAAGCAGGUGAAAGCCUUUGGUUCUGAGUUUAGGUGUUUAUUAAAUCUUGUGAAAUAUCACACAGUGUCACCCCCUGAAGCACAGUUCAGCCUGGGUCCGCGUGUCAGGUGCAGGUUGCAGGAAUCAUUGAGCACAGAGGUCCUGGCUUUCACUUCCCAUGAUGAGGCAGGGUCACACAAAGAACUCUGCUUCUGCUGCCCAGUGCCAAUCCAAUGGGAAGUUUGCACCAUGUCUUCAUUGUUUCCCAACUUGUUCAAUUGUGUUGCUAUUGGGAUGAUCCAUAGAAUUUUAUCUUAAACAAGACUCCAAAGACAGCAGGUAAGGCCAAACAUGCUCAUAAUCAAAACUGCCAUUCAAGAGUAGCAUUUGUCCUAGCAGGUGAGACACCUGUGUUCCAUAUCAGGUUGUCCAGGCUCAAUACCUGCCUCCAGUUUUUGACUCCAGCUUCCUGCUAAUGCAGACCCUGGGAGGCAACAGUCAUGGCUCAACUAAUUGGGUUCUUGCCAUCUACCCAGGUGGCAGACCUGAGUUGAGUUUCUGGCUCACAGCCUCAACCACAGCUUAGCCCAGGUGGUUGAAGUAUUUGCAUAGAGAACCAGGAGAUGGAAAAUCUCUCUCUCUCUCUCCCUCCCUCCCUCCCUCCCCCCCUCAUCAAUAAAUACAUAUUUUUAAAUUAAUAAUUGCCA